rnacentral:tRNA from 1 species
AGAUGAGCUCAGUUGGUUAGAGUAUGGUGCUGAUAACACCAAGAUUGUGGGUUCAACUCACAAUCUA